UGUUCCUUGAAUCGAGUGGAGUAAGGAAUUCUCUUCGGCCUCCUUUGGUCAAGUGUUUGGAACUCGGAGACGCCCGUGGCCAAGAAGCGAAACUCCCUUAGGUCUGUCAAGAAAUCCAAAGGAGCUCCACAGCCAGAAGUGAGCUCAAAUUGCUACGAAGCAGAGCGCCUCAACCAUCUCCUCUAAUAACUUCCUAAAGGAGAACUACCUGAUAAGAUACGGAUCAAGCAACAAUUUGCUAUUGGGGUUAAUGAUGUCACGCGUGUUCUUGAGAGAAUGAUACAAGCAGAUGCAGAUUGCCAAUCAAACGCUAGAUAAGAUUUUUGUAAGUUCUAUUUCUCUAAAGAAAAUUAUCAUAAAUUCUUAAAAGUCAAUAGUACUCGAUCUGAAUUAUUCAUGCUUUGAGCCUUUGCUGCUUGGAAUUUAAAUGUUUAUAACAUUAAUGGACGAGGAUGA